CCAAGAUGGCAGCACCCGUGGAUCUGUGGUUGAAGAAGGCCUUCACAGAGCUUCAAGCUAAAGUUAUUGACACUCAACAGAAGGCGAAGCUUGCAGACAUACAGAUUGAACAGCUAGACAGAACGAAAAAGCAUGCCCAUCUUACAGAUACAGAGAUUAUGACUUUGGUAGAUGAGACUAACAUGUAUGAAGGUGUAGGAAGAAUGUUUAUUCUUCAGUCCAAGGAGGUAAUUCACAAUCAGCUGUUAGAGAAACAGAAAAUAGCAGAGGAAAAAAUUAAAGAAUUGGAACAGAAAAAAUCCUACCUGGAGCGCAGCUUGAAGGAAGCUGAGGACAACAUCUGGGAGAUGCUGAUGGCACGAAGGGCACAGUAGGAAGCCUCUAGGGAAGCUUUCCCUCCUGACCCCUCCCAUUCCUGGCAAGGACAAGGGGCUUGUGAGGGAAAUAGCGUCUGCUGUACCCUGAUGGACAUUUUAUCUGGAUGGCCUGGUAACCCUAUG